rnacentral:siRNA from 1 species
AUGAGAACCUUGUUCGUGUGAA